rnacentral:misc_RNA from 1 species
GAUGAAGAACGUAGCGAAAUGCGAUAAGUAAUGUGAAUUGCGGAAUUCAGUGAAUCAUCGAAUCUUUGAACGCACAUUGCGCCCGCCAGUAUUCUGGCGGGCAUGCCUGUUCGAGCGUCAUUUCAACCAUCAAGCCCCCGGCUUGUGUUGGGGACCUGCGGCUGCCGCAGGCCCUGAAAAGCAGUGGCGGGCUCGCUGUCACACCGAGCGUAGUAGCAUACAUCUCGCUCUGGGCGUGCUGCGGGUUCCGGCCGUUAAACCACCUUCAUAACCCAAGGUUGACCUCGGAUCAGGUAGGAAGACCCGCUGAACUUAAGCAUAUCAAUAAGCGGAGGA